AAUAAACAAAUUUUACUUCUGUAUGUUAUUGUUUAGUUCUAUUUAAUUUCAAAGCUAUAGGUUACAAGAAUUUAGUGAAUCUUAUUAGUAAAGUUCCUACUUGUAUAUCAUACAAUUGUAUUGAUACUAUUCGAUUUUCGAGAGGUUUUCUCUUACAUGGAUACUAAUAAUGGAAGAGACAAAAGAAAAUAUUUUAGUACUAAGGAAAAUAAGUCUCUCUAAGUGAAGAAGAUAUAGCUCCCCUCUCUUUUCGAGCCAUCAAUAAUUGCCGGCUUUCAACUGUUGCGACUGUGCUUUCAUCCAUCCAUCAGUUAUGAAAGACUACCGGGUAGAACCCCCAAAUCAUUAUGAAUACCUUAAUAUUCUUUUUUACUAACUAAAGAUAAUAUUUGAAUAAGAACAGAGAGCAUUCUGUUAUAU
rnacentral:lncRNA from 1 species